AUUGAACGCUGGCGGCAGGCCUAACACAUGCAAGUCGAGCGGAUGAAGGGAGCUUGCUCCUGGAUUCAGCGGCGGACGGGUGAGUAAUGCCUAGGAAUCUGCCUGGUAGUGGGGGAUAACGUCCGGAAACGGGCGCUAAUACCGCAUACGUCCUGAGGGAGAAAGUGGGGGAUCUUCGGACCUCACGCUAUCAGAUGAGCCUAGGUCGGAUUAGCUAGUUGGUGGGGUAAAGGCCUACCAAGGCGACGAUCCGUAACUGGUCUGAGAGGAUGAUCAGUCACACUGGAACGGAGACACGGUCCAGACUACUACGGGAGGCAGCAGUGGGGAAUAUUGGACAAUGGGCGAAAGCCUGAUCCAGCCAUGCCGCGUGUGUGAAGAAGGUCUUCGGAUUGUAAAGAACUUUAAGUUGGGAGGAAGGGCAGUAAGUUAAUACCUUGCUGUUUUGACGUUACCAACAGAAUAAGCACCGGCUAACUUCGUG
rnacentral:rRNA from 1 species